rnacentral:rRNA from 1 species
AUGCGGGACCCUACGGGUGCCGCGUUCGGAAUGAGUACGAUUCGAACCACCUAACGAGGAACGUUCGGAGGGCAAGUCUGGUGCCAGCAGCCGCGGUAAUUCCAGCUCCAAUAGCGUACGUUAAAGUUGCUGCAGUUAAAAAGCUCGUAGUUGAACGUUCGGGUUCCGCGGGACGGGGCCGCCCCGCGAGGGACGGCGCCGCCCCGGGGCUCGUGAUAUCUUAUCUCGCCGCCCGUCGCGAGGCGGACGGAGGGAUGGAUGAGGUUACCUGGAAAAAAUCGGGGCGAUCUAGGCGGGCGAACCUCGCCAACGAACGAUCGGACAUGGGAUAACGGAAGAGGGCGUCGGCUCGACUUCGUCGGUUCCUCGGGGCCGAGGCACGUACGGUGAAUAGGGACGGUCGGGGCCGCCCGUACCGGGUCGUGAGAGGUGAAAUUCUAGGAUCGACCCGAGACGAACUGCCGCGAAAGCAUUCGGCAAGGACGCUUUCAUUAAUCAAGAACGAAAGUCGGGGGAUCGAAGACGAUCAGAUACCGUCGUAGUCCCGACCGUAAACGAU